rnacentral:lncRNA from 1 species
AUAACUUUAGUAUGAAUAAAUAGAAAUCUAUGAAAUUUAAACACAAGGUUUAUGACAUAAAAGGAAGGUUGGGAUUGAUUUUGGGAGUUUUGGUCCCAACAGUUUAGGAAUUAGUGGCCAAAAAGGGCCCAAAUAAGCAUUUUCUUGGUUUUCACACUUUAACUUUAGUUUAAGUUAAUAGAAAUCUAUGAAAUUUUGACACAAGGUUUGUGACCAUAAAAGGAAG